rnacentral:tRNA from 1 species
UCCCUGGUGGCUCAGAUGGUAAAGAAUCUGCCUGCAAUGCAGGAGACCCAGGUUCGAUCCCUGGAUUGGGAA